rnacentral:rRNA from 1 species
GGGGAAUUUUCCGCAAUGGGGAAUCUUCCGCAAUGGGCGGAAGCCUGACGGAGCAAUACCGCGUGAGGGAGGAAUGCCUUUGGGUUGUAAACCUCUUUUCUCAGGGAAGAAGAUCUGACGGUACCUGAGGAAUAAGUAUCGGCUAACUCCGUGCCAGCAGCCGCGGUAAUACGGAGGAUGCAAGCGUUAUCCGGAAUCAUUGGGCGUAAAGCGUCCGCAGGUGGUUUCCAAAGUCUGCUGUUAAAGACUGGAGCUCAACUCCGGAACGGCGGUGGAAACUUGGAAACUAGAGUUCGGUAGGGGUAGCAGGAAUUCCCAGUGUAGCGGUGAAAUGCGUAGAUAUUGGGAAGAACAUCGGUGGCGAAGGCGUGCUACUGGACCGUAACUGACACUCAGGGACGAAAGCUAGGGGAGCGAAAGGGAUUAGAUACCCCUGUAGUCCUAGCUGUAAACGAUGGAAACUAGGUGUGGCUUG